GAUAAUUGCAUCGGGGAUCGCGGAUGCGGAGAGCUUGAAUGCCAUUCAAUGCCUACGCUUCUCGUUCCCAGGAGUGAUUAUCU